rnacentral:rRNA from 1 species
GGACGAAAGUCUGACCGAGCAACGCCGCGUGAGUGAAGAAGGUUUUCGGAUCGUAAAACUCUGUUGUUAGAGAAGAACAAGGACGUUAGUAACUGAACGUCCCCUGACGGUAUCUAACCAGAAAGCCACGGCUAACUACGUGCCAGCAGCCGCGGUAAUACGUAGGUGGCAAGCGUUGUCCGGAUUUAUUGGGCGUAAAGCGAGCGCAGGCGGUUUCUUAAGUCUGAUGUGAAAGCCCCCGGCUCAACCGGGGAGGGUCAUUGGAAACUGGGAGACUUGAGUGCAGAAGAGGAGAGUGGAAUUCCAUGUGUAGCGGUGAAAUGCGUAGAUAUAUGGAGGAACACC